GGAUUAGAUACCCUGGUAGUCCACGCCGUAAACGAUGUCAACUAGCCGUUGGGGAACUUGAUUCUUUAGUGGCGCAGCUAACGCACUAAGUUGACCGCCUGGGGAGUACGGCCGCAAGGUUAAAACUCAAAUGAAUUGACGGGGGCCCGCACAAGCGGUGGAGCAUGUGGUUUAAUUCGAUGCAACGCGAAAAACCUUACCACCCCUUGACAUCCUGCGAAGUUACCAGAGAUGGUUUCGUGCCUUCGGGAGCGCAGAGACAGGUGCUGCAUGGCUGUCGUCAGCUCGUGCUG
rnacentral:rRNA from 1 species